GUUUUGCUUCUCUGGGCGGAAGGAUGAAAGAUGUGUUUUGAAAAUGCCACGUGACUACCGUCCUCCUCCCUCGCGGAUCAGUCCGCAUGUUCACGGUGCCAGCAUUUGUUAUGGAAUAUGUUGAGCAAACCUGGAGAAGCGUCAGCUCAAGAGACUAUUGUUGUCAUUACUGCUCGGGACCAGCACUCCUGUUGUUGGACAGAAAGACAUCAACUCAGUGACUUGAGAUAUGACUGCACUAUGCUGUUGCUGUGACUCCAGUUAAUUCUACAAGACAUGCUGUGACAACAGGAGAGAGGAGUCCUCCGUCACAGAUGGUGUGGUCAGUGAAGAUGGUCGCCUGCAGGUUCAAGCUCAUUGCAUCUCCAACCCACAUCCACUGCCACUGUACUUAAGGGAAGUUAAAGACUUUCUUCUGCACCUACAUUUGGAUCACCUCGAUCCAUGACAGUCAUUCAGGCAGUAAUGCCUGGACUGGAAACAAGCCAUCCUUAAAAUAUUACAACAUUCCAGCUCCUGUGUUGGAAUGCAAAACAAAUGUGUUGUUUAAAUUAGAGACUGCACUUGUGACAGAACAACAAAUAUUUUAUUUUGAUUAUAUAAGUAAUGUAAGUACAAAACAAGCUUGUGGUAGGCCUAAACUUAUUUUCAGAAUAAUUACAUCUGAGACUUUGUUUCAUUGUAAGAUUAUAACAGUGAUGGCAAUAUAAUUGUUUGUUGUUCAGCAGAAUAGUGUCCAGUAUGUUGGCUGUUGUACUUUGUUGUGUUUGAAAAUAAAAGUUGGGCUCAUUUUAACAUCAUUACAAAAAUUGUUGUUAAUUAUUUUUAAUCAUAUUCAGGUUACCACAAAUUGUUUUUUCAUUUAGUUGAACUUGAAAUGUUUGUCAGUAGGUAAACAAUUAGUAUUGUCAGAAAGUCAGAAA